rnacentral:tRNA from 1 species
GGGUUCGUAGCUCAGCUGGAUAGAGCGUCGCCCUCCGGAGGCGAAGGUCGUGGGUUCGAAUCCCGCCGAGCUCA